rnacentral:rRNA from 1 species
AGUGAACGCUGGCGGUAGGCCUAACACAUGCAAGUCGAACGGCAGCACAGUAAGAGCUUGCUCUUACGGGUGGCGAGUGGCGGGCGGGUGAGGAAUACAUCGGAAUCUACUUUUUCGUGGGGGAUAACGUAGGGAAACUUACGCUAAUACCGCAUACGACCUACGGGUGAAAGCAGGGGAUCUUCGGACCUUGCGCGAUUGAAUGAGCCGAUGUCGGAUUAGCUAGUUGGCGGGGUAAAGGCCCACCAAGGCGACGAUCCGUAGCUGGUCUGAGAGGAUGAUCAGCCACACUGGAACGGAGACACGGUCCAGACUCCUACGGGAGGCAGCAGUGGGGAAUAUUGGACAAUGGGCGCAAGCCUGAUCCAGCCAUACCGCGUGGGUGAAGAAGGCCUUCGGGUUGUAAAGCCCUUUUGUUGGGAAAGAAAAGCAGCAGGUUAAUACCCCGCUGUUCUGACGGUACCCAAAGAAUAAGCACCGGCUAACUUCGUG